rnacentral:rRNA from 1 species
GAUGAACGCUGGCGGCGUGCCUAAUACAUGCAAGUCGAGCGAACUGAUUAGAAGCUUGCUUCUAUGACGUUAGCGGCGGACGGGUGAGUAACACGUGGGCAACCUGCCUGUAAGACUGGGAUAACUUCGGGAAACCGAAGCUAAUACCGGAUAGGAUCUUCUCCUUCAUGGGAGAUGAUUGAAAGAUGGUUUCGGCUAUUCCCUAUAGAUGGGCCCGCGGUGCAUGAGCUAGUUGGUGAGGUAACGGCUCACCAAGGCAACGAUGAAUAGCCGACCUGAGAGGGUGAUCGGCCACACUGGGACUGAGACACGGCCCAGACUCCUACGGGAGGCAGCAGUAGGGAAUCUUCCGCAAUGGACGAAAGUCUGACGGAGCAACGCCGCGUGAGUGAUGAAGGCUUUCGGGUCGUAAAACUCUGUUGUUAGGGAAGAAUAAGUACAAGAGUAACUGCUUGUACCUUGACGGUACCUAACCAGAAAGCCACGGCUAACUACGUGCCAGCCGCCGCGGUAA